AUUGAACGCUGGCGGCAUGCCUAACACAUGCAAGUCGAACGGGGCAGCAAUGCCUAGUGGCGGACGGGUGAGGAAUACGUAGGAAUCUGCCCUUAAGUGGGGGAUAACCAGGGGAAACCCUGACUAAUACCACAUGAUCUCUUCGGAGCAAAGAGGGGGACCGCAAGGCCUCUCGCUUCUGGAUGAGCCUACGUCUGAUUAGCUAGUUGGUAGGGUAAAGGCCUACCAAGGCGACGAUCAGUAACUGGUCUGAGAGGAUGAUCAGUCACACCGGAACUGAGACACGGUCCGGACUCCUACGGGAGGCAGCAGUGGGGAAUAUUGGACAAUGGGCGCAAGCCUGAUCCAGCAAUGCCGCGUGUGUGAAGAAGGCCUUCGGGUUGUAAAGCACUUUAGCCCGGAAAGAAAAAACUUUGGUUAACACCCAAAGUCUUGACGGUACCAGGAGAAUAAGCACCGGCUAACUCUGUGCCAGCCGCCGCUGUAACAC
rnacentral:rRNA from 1 species